GACGAACGCUGGCGUGCUUAACACAUGCAAGUCGAACGGAAAGGCCCUGCUUUUGUGGGGUGCUCGAGUGGCGAACGGGUGAGUAACACGUGAGUAACCUGCCCUUGACUUUGGGAUAACUUCAGGAAACUGGGGCUAAUACCGGAUAGGAGCUCCUGCUGCAUGGUGGGGGUUGGAAAGUUUCGGCGGUUGGGGAUGGACUCGCGGCUUAUCAGCUUGUUGGUGGGGUAGUGGCUUACCAAGGCUUUGACGGGUAGCCGGCCUGAGAGGGUGACCGGCCACAUUGGGACUGAGAUACGGCCCAGACUCCUACGGGAGGCAGCAGUGGGGAAUAUUGCACAAUGGGCGGAAGCCUGAUGCAGCAACGCCGCGUGCGGGAUGACGGCCUUCGGGUUGUAAACCGCUUUCGCCUGUGACGAAGCGUGAGUGACGGUAAUGGGUAAAGAAGCACCGGCUAACUACGUG
rnacentral:rRNA from 1 species